UUGGGGGCAAGUCUGGUGCCAGCAGCCGCGGUAAUUCCAGCUCCAAUAGCGUAUAUUAAAGUUGUUGCAGUUAAAAAGCUCGUAGUUGAAUUUCGGGAUUGACACAUCGGUCGUGCCUUAAGGGGCGUGAACUGGUGUAGUCAAUUUCUCACCUUCUGGAGAACCGCGAUGCCCUUAAUUGGGUGUCACGGGGAACCAGGACCUUUACUUUGAAAAAAUUAGAGUGUUUAAAGCAGGCAUUUUGCUUGAAUACAUUAGCAUGGAAUAAUAAAAUAGGACGG
rnacentral:rRNA from 1 species